GUUAUAGUGGCCAUUAUGACUUCUUCCAGCAUGGUUCCAUCUAUUGUGACUAUUGGAGGAGGCCAGAGGUGAAGAGGGAAAGCAGUCAGAUAGGACCAACAUUUGAUAAAGCAGUAGAAAUGGAGCAUCUGCAAGCAGAGUUUCAUCAUCUAGAAAUCUGUGUGCUGGACUCAGAUGAGGAAAUUGAGCAUUAGAGUAAUUAAAUCACGUGCCCAGGCUCACACAAAUAGCAAAUGAAUGAAUCUUGGAUUUUAACUCAGGCAAUAUAAUU